CCGUUUAGGGGUAAACCUGAGAAACCCGAAAGGUCGAAGGAAGAAAUUCAUUCGCGGUCCAAUAGGGUUAUUGUAUGGUCGUGUGUGUCGAAAAUUAAAUUCGUUUAAUUAUCGCCCUGCCAUAUAAUAUAUAUGUACCUUAUUGAACGCGUGCACUUUUCUUCUGGUAGGACGUCGCGAUCCGUUGAGUAUCGAUCUACGGUACGGGUGGUUGAUCAUUGAUUGAUAAAUUUUCGGAUUUAUCUAAAUUAAUGAACCCUCGUGUAUGCCCGAUCGAUUGGCUCGACGGUAUAUGUGAAAGGUUUUAGGCCGCUUAUUAUUAAAAAGCGUUCGGCUUGUGGCAAGCACGUCAAAUUUUCUGGUAUCUCGGACCUAGUGCCGAAUCUGGACAUUGACGACUGUUGGCUACUUUUGUCUCGAACAGUGUCUUUAAAAUCGAUCUGCGACGAUAUAGCUUUGGGUAAUUUCAGGACCCGUCUUGAAACACGGACCAAGGAGUCUAGCCUGUACGCAAGUCAUUGGGAUUUUCAAUAAACCUAAAGGCGUAAUGAAAGUGAACGUUUUCCUUUUAGGGUUAACGUAGGGAAGACGUGCGUUAUAAAUAUUUAUUUAUUUAUUCGUUCUGCAUUCCCGGGGCGUCUCGUUCUCAUUACGAGAAGAGGCGCACCAUGAGCGUACAUGCUGGGACCCGAAA
rnacentral:rRNA from 1 species